ACUGCAUCGCUCGAAUCCGGGAGAGGUGAGUGGAAUUCCGAGUGUAGAGGU
rnacentral:rRNA from 1 species